CACAACUGCUUAACUUCGCAAGCUAACCUGUCAUAUCUCUCGGCUUUUCUUUUUUCCUUAUCGCAUACCUUGUUGUCAACUGGGCAUGCUAUAUUUAUAAUCCAGCACAGUUGGUUUUCUUUCUCAAUUAAGACUAUGUCUGGCAUAACAGUUCACA